rnacentral:lncRNA from 1 species
CUUCGGCGGUGGGCCGGGCCUUCACCACCCUGGUGACUUUGGUCCAGCUUGGCUGCCUAAUCCUCUACAAAAAUGCGAAGAAAGUAAACCAACAUGUACAAACACGAGUAAACGCAGGAAUAGGCGAGGGAAUGGUCAUCUCCAUGGCAGUGACGUUCCACGGUGCGAAUGGGCAGAGAGAGCCAGUGGCUUCCGGCCUUACAUAACCUUCUCACCUGGUAG